GAUGAACGCUGGCGGCGUGCCUAAUACAUGCAAGUCGAGCGAACGGACGAGAAGCUUGCUUCUCUGAUGUUAGCGGCGGACGGGUGAGUAACACGUGGAUAACCUACCUAUAAGACUGGGAUAACUUCGGGAAACCGGAGCUAAUACCGGAUAAUAUUUUGAACCGCAUGGUUCAAAAGUGAAAGACGGUCUUGCUGUCACUUAUAGAUGGAUCCGCGCUGCAUUAGCUAGUUGGUAAGGUAACGGCUUACCAAGGCAACGAUGCAUAGCCGACCUGAGAGGGUGAUCGGCCACACUGGAACUGAGACACGGUCCAGACUCCUACGGGAGGCAGCAGUAGGGAAUCUUCCGCAAUGGGCGAAAGCCUGACGGAGCAACGCCGCGUGAGUGAUGAAGGUCUUCGGAUCGUAAAACUCUGUUAUUAGGGAAGAACAUAUGUGUAAGUAACUGUGCACAUCUUGACGGUACCUAAUCAGAAAGCCCCGGCUAACUACGUGCCAGCAGCCGGCGGUAAUACGUAGGUGGCAAGCGUUAUCCGGAAUUAUUGGGGCGUAAAGCGCGCGUAGGCGGUUUUUUAAGUCUGAUGUGAAAGCCCACGGCUCAACCGUGGAGGGUCAUUGGAAACUGGAAAACUUGAGUGCAGAAGAGGAAAGUGGAAUUCCAUGUGUAGCGGUGAAAUGCGCAGAGAUAUGGAGGAACACCAGUGGCGAAGGCGACUUUCUGGUCUGUAACUGACGCUGAUGUGCGAAAGCGUGGGGAUCGAACAGGAUUAGAUACCCUGGUAGUCCACGCCGUAAACGAUGAGUGCUAAGUGUUAGGGGGUUUCCGCCCCUUAGUGCUGCAGCUAACGCAUUAAGCACUCCGCCUGGGGAGUACGACCGCAAGGUUGAAACUCAAAGGAAUUGACGGGGACCCGCACAAGCGGUGGAGCAUGUGGUUUAAUUCGAAGCAACGCGAAGAACCUUACCAAAUCUUGACAUCCUUUGACAACUCUAGAGAUAGAGCCUUCCCCUUCGGGGGACAAAGUGACAGGUGGUGCAUGGUUGUCGUCAGCUCGUGUCGUGAGAUGUUGGGUUAAGUCCCGCAACGAGCGCAACCCUUAAGCUUAGUUGCCAUCAUUAAGUUGGGCACUCUAAGUUGACUGCCGGUGACAAACCGGAGGAAGGUGGGGAUGACGUCAAAUCAUCAUGCCCCUUAUGAUUUGGGCUACACACGUGCUACAAUGGACAAUACAAAGGGCAGCGAAACCGCGAGGUCAAGCAAAUCCCAUAAAGUUGUUCUCAGUUCGGAUUGUAGUCUGCAACUCGACUACAUGAAGCUGGAAUCGCUAGUAAUCGUAGAUCAGCAUGCUACGGUGAAUACGUUCCCGGGUCU
rnacentral:rRNA from 1 species